rnacentral:lncRNA from 1 species
CUCCCCUUCCCCCCGCGCCAGAAGCGUCCCCGUUGCCCACCCCUCCUCCUGCCCCUUUCAUUCCUUCGGGCCUGUUCUCAAAUCUGCAGUUGCUUCCUCUUCUCCCUUGGCCAAACCAGGCCUCCCAGAUUCCAGCAAAGCUUCCCCGGAAUUUGCUCUUUUGGGCAGAUGGGGGUGGGGAAGGGGGGCAGUCAGAGGAAGAAGGAGAGAGUAAGUGGGAAAUAGAAAGUGGAAAGAAGCAAAAAGAACUGACUUUCGCUCGGGCCCAGGAGGGGAGGAGGGGCCGGUUUAGUGCAGUGGCAGGAUGCCCAGCGACUGGGUGGCCAGGGGAGCAGGUGCGGAGGGGGCAGAGAAGGAGCUAUGCUCCCCGAGCCCCCCUUGCCUUGCUGGGCACCCGUUCUAAGGCCGCACCUGGCCCACAUGAGGACAAGACCUAUGAACUCAGCCUCUCCAGCAAUGUGUCCCAAACUCUUGAUUGUCUCAAGCAAGACCAGGAUGCCCUAGGGCUCCCAGUGUGGGGACCCCUGGGCCUGGGGCGCUCUUUCACCCCCUCCAUCUGUACACAGGGCUGUCGUGGUGCCUCCACGUCCAAAGAAACGUCCAGCCUCGUGGGCCUUCCCAGUCCCCCUUGGAACCCUCCCUCUGCCUACAAGGGCAGGCUGUCCACAGACCCCACUCUUCGGUUCCUGCUAGCACUUCCCGGAGGGCCCUUCUCAGCGUCCUGUCCGUAUUCUAUGGAAUAUCAUGGCGUUCUCUAACCUAAUCAUGGGUUAGAAACCCCCUCAGAACUCCAGUGGAAGCCUCAAGCUAUUCUCCCCCCUCCCCCCGCCCCCGUUGUUUCAUAUUUGGGAGAUAGGGGACAGUUUCUUUAAGGCUUUUGCAUCUCAAUUUCUUAAUUGCAAAUGGGAGCUUGCAUUUAACUCCUCCCCACCGGGAGGACACUUGUGAGGUCAGCAUCUUCUGAGCACCCAGCCCAGUGCCCGGCUAACAGCAGGAAGCUAAACAUUAAUUCCCUUCUCCUUCUCCCCGCCUUUUAUUCUUCCAACAACUAAGCCCG